AUGAAAAAGAAAGGAGGUAGAUUUUUUUUGGAUUUAUGGUUAAAGAAGAAAAAGAAGAAAACAGGGGUUCUGUUGAAUUUCAAGUAUUCAGUCGUGGAAUGCUUUUGUUCUCCACGGAGACUUUCUUCACAUUUGGAAUUACACAAAAAAGAUUUUUCAUCGGAAAGAGGUCUACGAAGAAUUUUGGGAAAACGUCGAUGUUUGCUGGCUUAUUUGGCAAAGAAAAGGCUACGCCUUGAACCGCUCGGCCAUCUCUCCUACAUAACUUAUUAUGGAAAAUAA
rnacentral:rRNA from 1 species